AGUGAACGCUGGCGGUAGGCCUAACACAUGCAAGUCGAACGGCAGCACAGUAAGAGCUUGCUCGGACGGGUGGGGAGUGGCGGACGGGUGAGGAAAACAUCGGAAUCUACUUUUUCGUGGGGGAUAACGUAGGGAAACUUACGCUAAUACCGCAUACGACCUACGGGUGAAAGGAUGGGAUUUUCGGACCUUGCGCGAUUGAAUGAGCCGGUCUCGGGUUAGCUAGUUGGGGGGGUAAAGGCCCACCAAGGCGAGGAGCCGUAGCUGGUCUGGGAGGAUGGGCAGCCAGACUGGAACGGAGAGACGGUCCAGACGGCUACGGGAGGGAGCCGGGGGGAAGAAUGGAUGAUGGGUGGAAGCAAGACCCAGGCAGACCGGGUGGGUGAAGAAGGCCGUCGGGUUGGAAAGGCCGUUUGUUGGGAAAGAAAAGCAGCAGGCUAAUACCGCGCUGUUCUGACGGUACCCAAAGAAUAAGCACCCGCUAAACUCGUUC
rnacentral:rRNA from 1 species